CCUACGGGCGGCUGCAGUGAGGAAUAUUGGUCAAUGGACGUAAGGCUGAACCAGCCAAGUAGCGUGAGGGAAGACUGCCCUAUGGGUUGUAAACCUCUUUUAUGCGGGGAUAAAGGUGUCCACGUGUGGAUGUUCGCAGGUACCGCAUGAAUAAGGACCGGCUAAUCCCGUUCCAGCAGACGCGGUAAUACGGAAGGUCCGGGCGUUACCCGGAUUUAUUGGGUUUAAAGGGAGGGUAGGCCGGUCUUUAAGCGUGCCGUGAAAUUUGGUGGCUCAACCAUGGCAGUGCGGUGGAAACUGGCGGCCUUGAGUGCGCGGGAGGGAGGCGGAAUUCGUGGUGUAGCGGUGAAAUGCUUAGAGAUCACGAAGAACCCCGAUUGCGAAGGCAGCCUGCCGCAGCGUUACUGACGCUGAAGCUCGAAAGCGCGGGUAUCGAACAGGAUUAGAUACCCGGGUAGUC
rnacentral:rRNA from 1 species